rnacentral:rRNA from 1 species
UACGAAGGGGGCUAGCGUUGCUCGGAAUUACUGGGCGUAAAGCGUGCGCAGGCGGUUUUGUAAGUCUGUCGUGAAAUCCCCGGGCUUAACCUGGGAAUUGCGAUGGAGACUGCAAGGCUGGAGUUUGGCAGAGGGGGGUAGAAUUCCACGUGUAGCAGUGAAAUGCGUAGAGAUGUGGAGGAACACCGAUGGCGAAGGCAGCCCCCUGGGUCAAAACUGACGCUCAUGCACGAAAGCGUGGGGAGCAAACAGG